GGAGAUCAAUUGCCCGAAUUGCUUAAUCCAAUAAUCGUGUUCGUCGCAUUUACCAGUACAAUAAGUGGGUAAAAUAAAGAUUUCUGUUUAUUUCUGUAAUAAAAUGGAAGUAGAGGAAUCGAUAAAGAACGAUAUCGUCGAGAAUGUCAGAGAAGAAUUAAGAAACUUGAUACACAUCGAAAGGAAGGAAAAUCGUACAAGAACAUUGAACAAAAGUCGUGUCACAUUAGGGAACAUUGUAACAAAUUCGUCUUUUACAACAGAAUUCGUAGUUGAGAAGGCCAGAAUACUUAAGAAGAAACCGUUAUCCAUCGAAGAGUACAAGCAGCUCCAAAAUGCCCUUAUUCAGAGUGAGGAAAAUGUGAACACUUUCCUUAAAGUGGAUAAUAUACUGUUUGCCUUAGUACGUGAUUUCUCUGGUAACGACCCAGCCUUACAAUUAUGCGCCAUUAGUUGUUCUUGUAAUAUAGCACUUGGAAAUGCUAAAGCUUGUACUUCGUUAACCAAAAGUAUUGGACCUUACCUUAUUACAAAACUGGACACCUUAAAUUAUCCUCUCUUGGACGUUUGUAUAUGGACAAUAGGAAAUUUAAUUGCUGGAAGUGAUAAGACGUUUGAAAUUCUAAAUGCCCAAGGUUGCUUAAAGUAUUUAAUAUCAUUGAUGCAGAAUUGUGACUAUGUAAUUAUACCUUCGGUCACCUAUGCAACUAUGCAUUAUGUUCACGUUGGUUUUCAGAAUAUCAGUGAGAAUGAAAUGACAGAUCUUGCCAAGGCUACUGCAAAAAGGAAACUUUCGUUUGAAACUCCUUAUUACAUUUGGUUAUUAGCUCUAUUGUCUUCUCAUGUAUCAUGUAUCCCGUAUUUACAUGAUUUACUGCCCUCGAUAGCUGAUUACUUAUAUCAGAGAGCUGUACAAAAUUUCACACGCAUAACCGAGAUCACGGCAUGCAUAAGAGUACUAGCUAAUGCUGCUCAAGAUAUUUCUGGUGAACUGACGAUGUUCCUAUUAGAGAAUCCGAAGUAUACGCAAUUAAAUUUGGAGACAUUGUUAAAUGCAUUACUGUCCUCUCAAUACAUACAUAUCAGGAAAGAGACUCUAUGGUUAAUAGGUAAUCUUUAUAAUCACAAUUGCAUUAGCGUUAAAAACAUUUCACAACCCGUUAUUUCCCGACUGUCGUCCUUGGAACAAGCGAUUAUGUCUGUAUCUGAGUCGACUAUGUUUUUAAACGCGAAACCGAUAAACUGAACGGGAACGUGGUGAAUAAAGUGUCGUCUUAAUUCUAUGGAAGCAUAAUCGUUCUGUGGAACAUCCUCGAUGCAGGAGACCUUGAUUACGUUAAAAUAUAUUUCACCUAUGACUCGCGCCGUUGGAUGCAUCGUGGCCUUUAAACAAUGGUAGAGCGCCUCGUCACAAUCGCAGUGCGACCUGCAAAGUGUACAUGGAGUAAUUGGUGAGAUUGUACCGCGUUUGGCGAGCUCGAACUUUAACGGGACAAAGAUCGUGGCUGCGGCAACAUCUACAGCAAAUAAAACCGAUCCAUCGUUGUCAUUUAUUAAAACGGAAUUUUCUAACAA